GGUAGCAUCGUGUAGUGGUUUGAGCAUUGGAUUAUGACUCUGGAGACCAGGGUUCGAAUCCCGGCUCGGCCA
rnacentral:tRNA from 1 species